GCCGCUAUAGCUCAGUUGGUAGAGCGCCGCAUUCGUAAUGCGUAGGUCGCGGGUUCGAGUCCCGCUUGCGGCU
rnacentral:tRNA from 1 species